rnacentral:rRNA from 1 species
CAAUAGCGUAUAUUAAAGUUGUUGCAGUUAAAAAGCUCGUAGUUGAAUUUUUGCUUGCCGCCGAUGUCGGAACUUCCGUACGUUCGGCGGCGUGCCUCCUUGGGUGGAACCUGUGUGGCAUUAGGUUGUCGUGCAGGGGAUGCUCAUCGUUUACUGUGAAAAAAUUAGAGUGUUCAAAGCAGGCUUACGCCGUUGAAUAUAUUAGCAUGGAAUAAUAAGAUAGGACCUUGGUACUAUUUUGUUGGUUUGCGCACCGAGGUAAUGAUUAACAGGGACAGUUGGGGGUAUUCGUAUUCCAUUGUCAGAGGUGAAAUUCUUGGAUUUCUGGAAGACGAACUACUGCGAAAGCAUUUACCAAGGAUGUUUUCAUUAA